AAGAGGAACAGAGGUUGGUGAGCAUCUAGCCAGGUAACCAUGGUAAUGAAUGUUGUUAUGAAUGAGAACCCCCUGGGAAGAGAAGAUGGAGUUUGAAGAUGAGGAGCUUAUUAAGGACUGGCCCUUGAGUCGUCUGUACAUAUACAGACAGUUAGAAAAAGGUGGACUGGCAAAGAAAACUGAGAAGGAGUAGCCAGAGAUAGAGGAGGACAACUAAGAGAAUGUGGAGUUAGGGAAACCAGGAGAAGUAUGAGAAAAUCAGAAGGAGUCUGACAACCAUCCACUGAAACCAGUUACAUGGAGAGCAUUGAUGACUCGAGGGAAUAUGCUCCUGGGGAGCUAAUGAAGGCAGAAAUCUGUGUGGACUGCAUGGAGAGUCAGUGAGAUAGAGAGAGAGAGGGUGCAAGCAAAAAAUGGGAGAAGAAAUCUGUGAUGAUGAACAGUCCCUGGAAAUGUGAAAGUGUUAAAACUUCAAGUACUGGGUUUAUCCUUUGAGCCUCCCAUAGCAGCUGCCUCCAGCUCCAUCUUCCCAGCCUUGUGCAGAGAAAGGAGAGGACCUGCCUGUCAGCCCUGUAAUUUUGAUUACCGUUGAAAUUUCUCCCAUUACACAACACACCUUGCUCAGUGCUGCAGAGAUUCAUCACUUAGACCAGAGCACCCCCAGCCCUCUAGCCCAGGGAUGGAGUGAAGGGGGUCGAUGUGAAGCUCAGCGGCUCCCUCUAGAGUUCAGCGAGAGUUCUGCCCUGUGGUGUUGCUUCUGCUCAAGUCUCCAGCCCGUUUCUCAUGAUUCCCUCCGCCACCCAUCCACCGUAUGAAUCCAGCUUUUUAAAAUAACUUACAGUUCUUCAGUUGAGUUUUGUUCUGUCAUGUCUUUGACCUAACAUGAAGUUAAUUCCUCUUUCUGGACACAAUUCCUUUGACUUUUUUUUCCCUGGUUAUCUCUUAUUCAUCACCCAAGAACCUGUAUCCCUCCUCAUUCAUUCCUGUCACCAAGAACCUGUAUCCUUCCUGUGUGGUUCUUCGUGCUAAGCACACUGAGAUAGAACUUACAGAUUUCAAGCAAAUGACUCAGUAGCAGGCAAGACAUUCUGGACAAGUGUGAGACAGGCACAGAACCAAAACAUAUCUGGAUAGAAAAACAGGAACAUUUGAAUAGGUUUUUGCAAUGCAUACUGUACACAUUUCAGACAGUUCUAACUUCAAGGAUGAUGGGACGCAGGACUGUUUUUUCAAGUUCAUCUUUCUUGACGUCCAAGUUUGAGGACACUUUCUGCAAUCCCUCAAGUCUAGUUGGCCCUGUAUUCUGGACAAUUUCUUUAAAAAAUUAUUUUAUUAAAAAUUGUUUUUUGUAAAGACUAGUCUCACUAUGUUGUGCAGGCUGAUCUCAUAUUCCUGGGCUCAAGUGAUUCUCCUGCCUUGGCCUUCAAAGUGUUGGGAUUACAGAUGUGAGCCACCAUACUCAGCCAAUUUCUUAUGAAAUUUCAUGUGAAAAAAAAACCCAUUUAUCCUCUAAUCUUUGGUUUGAGAUUUUUUUAAAAAAGGUUUUACAUAUUUGGCUUAUAGUAGAGGUUUUCAAUUGUGUAGUUUUAUUAACACAUUGUGAUAUGGUUUGGCUGUGUCCCCACCCAAAUCUUAUUUUGAAUUGUAACUCCCACAAUUCCCCUGUGUUGUGGGAGGAACCCACUGGGAGGUGAUUGAAUUAUGGGGGCGGGUCUUUCCUGCACUGUUCUUGUGAUAGUGAAGGAGUCUCAUGAGAUCUGAUGACUUUAAUAACGGGAGUUUGCCUGCCCAAGCUCUCUUGUCUGCCGCCAUGUGAGACAUGCCUUUCACCUUCUGCCAUGAUCAUGAGGCCUACAGGCCAUGUGGAAUUGUAAGUCCAAUAAACCUCUUUCUUUUGUAAAUUGCGCAGUCUUGGGUAUGUCUUUAUCAGCAGUGUGAGAACAGACUAAUACAUAUUGGGCUUUGUGAGAAAUCUAUAUUGAAUAUUAAAGUGAUGCUAAUCAGUCAUAGCCUUUACAGACUGGAAUAUGGAGUGCACUCUGUGGCUUUCUAAGGCUUCUCUAUGCAGAUUUGUAAAAGUGGGAUGGGUGUUUCAUGCGCAACCAGUUCUUGUUGAUUGGUGUGCAGCCUUGAACCUGAAUUUGGUUGGUGCUGUGUUUGUGGACUUUCUGCAACAUCCUUGUUAGAGUCUUUCCAAAAUCAAUGUCUCAGUGUUUAUUUUUAAGUUGGUGAUUUUUUUAACCUUCUGAAGGAUUUAUUUUUAAGAUCUUUUAUGUUCUGACUCCAUAAAUGAUAUACUUAGAAGACAGGGUUUUACAGAACUGAAUUUUAACUACAGGUGUGGUAUAUGUAGUAGCCUGAUCUUUUCAGGAUUACUCUCUAAUAAUAUGAAAUAUUGUUGAGAAGGACUAUUCUUCUCAAUUCUGAUUGAUGCUAGUUAUAUUUCUUUUUCAAGACUGGAAACAAAACUGGCUUCCUACUGGUUUG
rnacentral:lncRNA from 10 species